AACAAAAACAAAAAAAAAAGCCCGAAGUUUGUGCUGUGGACAGAAGCUUAGUUUGCGAGCUGUUAGCCCCGCGGGCUAACGACACGCGCUAACCGGGAAGUUGGCAGUUGACAGGAACACACGUCGACCCACCCGGACACCAUUUUUAUUUUUACCUUUUAACUUUACGUGUCUUCUACCCUUUUUAAAGAAGACUAUUUGUUUAAGUCGCUGUGGGAUAAUACUACCACACAGGAACAUUUAAAACAGGACACUUUAUCUUUGCUUUUGUAAUGUGAAGUCUGAAUUAAUGACAACCAGCCAAUAAUAAUUACUUAUUAAUCAAUUAUUUAUUGAUAAAAAAGUUUAAACCGUGUCCCGACAGGUAAAAUAAUCAAGUUACGUUUAAUGUAACGUUAUUAAUAAUAUUACAUGUGCAUACUAAACUGUUGCUUGUUUCUUUAUAUUUAUCUAAAUAUAUUUUAUUGUAUUGUAUAACACCAGCUGUAGAUUGUGAAAGUCACGUUUCAUUGUCUUUUACCCACUUGUGACUCAUCAAACAAAGCCAGUAGGCAGCAACGACUGCCUUCAAUUUGUAUUAAUUGUUGAACCCUAUAAAAUGUCCGAAUGACAUCACAGCUUAUCUUCCACCAAGGGGGAAAAACAGUCAUAGGGAGCAGCCAUGACACCAACCCGUUUGUUAUCAAGAGCAGGAACCAAGGAACCAACUCCAGAAAGUUAUGAUGACAGCAGUGAUUUGCUCCUCGACACGCAAGAGGAAACCCAUAGAACUCUAUGCGCUACAGCGAGUCUCCUCCCUGGAAUGUGUGCUUGAGAAUUUCACAACACGUCACACAGCCGCAGCACAAACGUCAAAUGCAAAUACAUCUUUCAGUCAGCUGAUGUUGGUCAAGGGGGUGAGGUGGAUCCAUGGCGACCACGUGCUGAUACAUCUCUAAUAUAGGCAACAAAUUGUUUAUGAAGGAUGUUGGGAACCACACAGAGGACCUGUUUUAUUUUGAUGACUUAUUGCAGGACGGUAAACUUCCUUCAGUCUGUACAUGGGAUACCAUACCUGUGUCGUCAGCCUGAUGCAUUGUGCCCAGCAGAGAGAACCGGUUUCCUAAAGAUGACGCCAACAUGUUGAGCUAUGACCAGAGUCAGCUGACUACCGGAGGAGAACAAGAGGCGCCGGUGUGGCUGGUUGUUACGUGUGCAUUAACCCACAUUCCUCCUUUUAUCCAUUCACACCUGAAAUUUAAACAUGUACAGAAACAA